UUGAAUAUAUGUAUAUUUUUGAAUGAAUUUUUGAUAUAAAUCAAUUUUAAAUUAUUAUUUUGAUUUGAAUAUAUAUAUCAAGUAACAUAGACUCAUUAUUUUUUUAAUACAAUGUAAUUGACUUUUAAUUUUUUUAGUAGCAUAAACCCAUUUUUUUUUCUAACUUACUGCUAUCCAUGUUUCCAAACAAUACUAUUUUUAACUACUAUUCAUAUUGCCAAACAAUCCUAAUGUGUACUUCAAUCCUAAUGUUUCCAAACAAUUCUCAUAUAACAUUGUCAUCCAUGUUUCCAAACAAACCAUAUUUUUAAACUGCAAUUCAUGUUUCCAAACAAACCUAAUUUGUACUUCAGUUUCCAAACAAACCUAGAGCUUGACCCGCGCGCCCGCGCAUGUAUUAGUUUUUACGUAUUUAUACAUUGAUAUUUGUUUUUCGUGAUUAGUGCAAUAUAUUUUAGAUAUGUCUCCAUAUAACUAAUUGUAUUCAAAAGAUCUAGAUCGAAUCGGAUAAUAUAAUGAUUUUUGGUUCAAAUAUCAGAAUCAUUUUCAAAUACGUUCGUUAUUUGAAUAUUUUUACUUUUCUGUACAUCAGAACCAAAUUCAUACAGACCCGGAAGAUCCAACUUGAAACUCACACAUAAAUUUAAAUCCAAACAUGGCCUAAUUUCAAAACCAAAAAAAUCUAUACCCGAAAAAACGAUGUAUACCUAAAUGGGUACCCGAAUGUCUAUGCCUAACAGAUUCCGUAAACAAAUAAAUAUAUGUAUAGAUAUAUAUUUAUGUGUUUGGCUAAAUUAAGUGAAAUAGAAAAAAAUUUAUUUAGUAAUAUUUUUACAAUAUUAAUAAUAAUCAAUAUAUGAAUAUCGAUUUGUUUAGAUAAGUUUUGGAAUUGUAAUUAGUUAAUUUAAAUUAAAUUUAAAUGCAGUGGUAGAAUUCGUAUAUAAAAAGAAAUACAAAAAGGAAGUACCUAAAAAGAUAUUUCAAAACCCAAAAAAUCUUUACCCGAAAGAAACAACCCGUACUUAAAUGGAUACCCAAAUAUCUAUGCCUAACUGAUUCCGUAAACAAAUAAAAAAGUUAUUUUAAUGUGUUUGGCUAAAUUAAAUGAAAUAGAAAUUUUUUAUUUAGUAAUAUUUGUACAAUAUUAAUAAUGAUCAAUAUAUGAAUAUCAAUUUGUUUAGAUAAGUUUUGGAAUUGUAAUUAAUUAAUUUAAAUUGAUUUUAAAUGUAGUGGUAGAAUCUGUAAAUAAAAAGAAAUACAAAAAGAAAUACCUAAUUUAUUAUGAAUGCAAUGACUAAAUGUGUAAAUAAAAGAAAAUACAUAUACUGCUAUUCAAGUUUCCAAACAAUUCUCAUAUAAUAUUGUCAUCCAUGUUUCCAAACAAACCAUCUUUUUAAACUGCAAUUCAUGUUUCCAAACAAACCUAAUUUGUACUUCAGUUUUAAUAAUAUAGAUAUAUGAAACUCCCUGAGGGAUUGAAAAUACGAGGGGAAUUGAAAGAAAAAUCCAGGGAGAUUUGUUCGGUCAAGUUACAGCGAUCACUAUAAGGAUUAAAGCAAUCCGGACGCAUGUGGUACAAUCGCUUAAGUGAAUAUAUCUUGAAAAAGGGAUAUGUUAAUAAUGCGAUAUGUCCAUGCGUUUUUAUAAAGAAAUCGUCAUCUCGCUUUGUGAUCAUUGUUGCAUAUGUAGAUGACCUGAACAUAAUUGGAACUCAAAAGGAGGUUGAUGUUGCUCGGACUCAUAUAAAAGAAGAGUUUGAAAUAAAAGAUAUCGGCAAGACAAAGUUUUGUCUUGGGUUCCAGAUAGAGCAUCUCCGAGAAAAAAUAAUUGUGCAUCAAUCAAAUCAUACGAAAAAGUUAUUGAAACGCUUUUGUAUGAAUAAAACGACUCCUUUGAGUACUCCAAUGGUAAAUAGAUCUCUCGAUGUUAAAAGAGAUGUUAUUUUAAAAGAUCCAGGUAAGAUUUUAUAUAAAUAAGUACUUUAGAGAUGCUAAUGGUAAUAAAUAAUUUGUGAGCUUAUAUGUCUUGCAAGUUGUAUUUGAUAAAAUAUAGUUUUAGACACUAAUGUUUUUGCAAGAUACAGCUUAUUUCCUAUUUAUGGAAAUUAGAAUGGCAUCGAGAACAUGUCAGUUCUCUCCAAGUUGGUGGAACCGCGAUCUCUUGGCGGUCCCAGAAACAAACUCUGGUUGCGACAUCUUCGAAUCAUGCAGAGACUAUUGCGCUUCAUGAAGAAUGUCGAGAAUGUGUUAGGCUUCGGUCAAUGAGUCACCACAUACAAGAAUUAAGCUGAAUAGUCAACGACGAAAAUAUUUGAAGACAAUUCGGCUUGUAUUGCUCCACUCAAGGAAGACUACAUUAAGAGUGACAGAACAAAGCAUAUUCCUACAAGAUUUUUCUCGUACAUAAGGAAGCUCGAGAAAAAUAAAGAGCAUUUGCGUGACCUGUGACGAGAAAGCUAGUUCUACUAUUUUCAGGGGGAGAUUACGGUAGUGUACUCUUUUUCCCUUGUCAUGGUUUUUGUCCCAAUGGGUUUCUUCGUGACUAGGUUUUUAACGAGAUAUUACGUAAUACAAGAUGAAAAAUCAAGGGGGAGUGUUGCAAAAGAUGAUUAUUCAUCAUGGUAACAGAUGUCCCACUCUCAUCAAAUGUGUGUGAUUAUCACUAUACACAUGUCCCCACCACAUUUUUCGUUGGUAAAUAUCUGAGUCCAUGACCGACUUUAGUGGGUUAUAAAUACCCUCUCCCUCUCAUUGUUGUAAGAUUGUAAGAUAAGAAACAAGAUAAAUAAGAACAUUAUUUUUGUCUA